CUGUUAUGACGUCACGUUUACUGCACUGCCAGUAAAAACGGAACACACCCGAAAUCAAGACAUCCCAUUUCUGCCAGAGACAGAUUGUAUGCAACCCUUCGCUAUUUAGCAUCUGGAGAUGCAAUGAGUUCGAUGGCUUAUGCCUAUCGAAUAGGAAGAAUUACAGUUUCACAAAUUGUAUCUGAAACAUGUGACGCACUGUGGGAAGUAUUACAGGAUGAACUGUUGGAACUGUUGGAAUUCCAGAGGAAAAUUGGAAAAGAGCAGCUGUUGAAUUUGACAAGCGUUGGCAGUUCCCUCAUUGCAUCGGUGCUGUCAACGGUAAACAUAAUAGAAAUCAAGGUAAAUAAAAAACAAUUUAUAAAUUGUUAAAAGACAUGUAUAACACUAUAAUAAAGA